AACGCACGAGACCUGCGGACCUGCGGAAGGAUCAUUACAGAGUUGAAAGACUCCCAAACCACUGUGAACAUACCCGCGAGCGUUGCCUCGGCGGGCGGCCCCAGGGCGGGGCCGCCGCCUCCCCCAGCGGGAGGUGCCCGCCGCAGGCCUCUACAAACUAUUGUGAAUCCCAUGUGGCCUCUCUGAGUUGAUUACCAAUAAUCAAAACUUUUAACAACGGAUCUCUAGAUCGGAAGAGCA
rnacentral:misc_RNA from 1 species